GGCUGGUCUGAUGGUAGUGGGUUAUUAGAAUUUAAUAACAUUAGUGUCACUAAAGUUGGUAUACAACCCCCCACUGCUAAAUUUGACUGGUUUAAA
ensembl:misc_RNA Y_RNA Y RNA